rnacentral:rRNA from 1 species
UACGUAGGUGGCAAGCGUUGUCCGGAAUUAUUGGGCGUAAAGCGCGCGCAGGCGGUCCUUUAAGUCUGAUGUGAAAGCCCACGGCUCAACCGUGGAGGGUCAUUGGAAACUGGGGGACUUGAGUGCAGAAGAGGAAAGUGGAAUUCCACGUGUAGCGGUGAAAUGCGUAGAGAUGUGGAGGAACACCAGUGGCGAAGGCGGCUUUCUGGGACGGUACUGACGCUGAGACGCGAAAGCGUGGGGAGCGAACAGG